rnacentral:lncRNA from 1 species
CAUCCUCAAACUGGGAUCAAGAGGAGAUGGAGUCACAUUUGAACAGGCAAGCACUGAACCCCUGGGAUGUAGCUGGUGGGUUAAAGCCCACUCAUGACAAUUUUGUAGAUAGAUACCUCCGAGAGAAGGUGGAAGAUGAAGCUCCAAGGCAGAACUACAUCAGUACUCUCAAUCAGGCCCUGGAGGACAACCCCUACUGGGUUGGACAUAAUCAGCUUUUCUACCAGGUGUUGAGCCCUGUGACAGCAGAAGGAGGGCUCAGAGCCACGGCCAGAAAAGCUGAGCAACGUCUAAACAGGAACUGGGAUUUUCUCUCUGACCCAUUGGCUCAGAGCCACCUCGCUGAGAGCAGCAGGGGAGAGGCCAUGGCUGAAGAGAAGCAUUCCUCUCAAGGCGGGCACCUCCUGAUCAUGCCUGCCACCACAGACACACAGGGGAAGCAACAGGAGGAAGGGUCAAUGUUCAUAAAAAAAUCUGGGAGACCCCAAGGCCCAGAUCUUGCACUGGUUCCAGGUGAGCUCUUGAAUACCACAGUCCAUCAUCACCUGCACUUGCUGGAGCCAGACGAAGGCCUGUGGGCGUUCAUGGGCCAUGUGGAGCAAGCCCUGAGGACUGGCUGCAGCCUGCCCCAGAUCAAGCAGGCCUGUGCCAGGACAUUCUCAAAGAUUGGGCUACUUCUAAAGGAGCUCAGUGAGAGGCAAGAGACCCAGGGAGCCUCUGAUCGCAUGGGCCAGUGUCCCCUGCAAGACAACAUCUCCAGACGCACAGCUUUGCAGGAUCAGGAGCCCGCAGAAAAGGUGUGUUCCCGAUGUGCUGCAGCUAUUUGCCGACAGCUACCCAGCUGGAAAUCGUGGCUGAGAAGGCUGUCUAUAAAACUGAAACAGAGAUGGAGGAAGAACAAGUACAGGGAUGUAGAGGAUGCAGAGCAGGUAAGGGCAGGAACAGAUGCCAGUGCUGCUCCUCUACCUGCACCACCUGCUCUGCCUCACCUCUCUAAAUCUGUGGCAAUUUCCAGGACCUGCCUGAGCUCAGUGAAGCUGAAUUGCUGGUGGUUCAAUACAUCAUGGAUGUCCUUGAUAAAGAGGAAGAAGAAUUGCAGAAACAAAUGCAGAAAGAGAAUACAGAUGUCUCACAAGAAGAGAUACAACAUGAAGAACUUGAGUGAGGGGAAGAUGGAUGCCAACACUUCUUCUCCAGCUCCUGCACCCAUACAGGAGUUGCGGAAGCUUUCCUUUGAUUCUAAUCCUUGAUCCUUGGAUCCCAGUUCUUGCCUUGGAGGCUAUUUCCUUAGCUAUUUCCAUACUGAUAUUUCUUUAACUCUCAUUGAAUGAUACUUCCUUCACAGUUCUUUCCUUGGAUAUUAUUCCUAAUAAAUGCUGGUUUUGUGCAGCCA